AGAGUUUGAUCAUGGCUCAGGGCGAACGCUGGCGGCGUGCUUGACACAUGCAAGUCGAACGCUGAAGCUCCCUUCGGGGAGUGGAGGAGUGGCGAACGGGUGAGUAACACGUGGGAACGUAUCCUGUGAUGGGGGAUAACUACUCGAAAGGGUAGCUAAUACCGCAUAAGCCCGAGAGGGGAAAGGCGCAACAGCGCCGUCACGGGAGCGGCCCGCGGACCAUCAGCUAGUUGGUGAGGUAGGGGCUCACCAAGGCGACGACGGAUAGCCGGCGUGAGAGCGUGGCCGGCCACAAGGACACUGAGACACGGGUCCUACUCCUACGGGAGGCAGCAGUGCGGAAUUUUGGUCAAUGGGCGAAAGCCUGAACCAGCGACGCCGCGUGCGGGAAGAAGGCCUUCGGGUCGUAAACCGCUGUGGUAAGGGACGAAUACUGUUAAGAGUGGAAAGCUUAACAGGGAGACGGUACCUUACUAGAAAGCCCCGGCUAACUACGUGCCAGCAGCCGCGGUAAUACGUAGGGGGCGAGCGUUGCCCGGAAUCACUGGGCGUAAAGGGAGCGUAGGCGGCCUGUUAAGUCGGCUGUGAAAAACCGGAGCUCAACUCCGGUCCUGCGGUCGAAACUGGCAGGCUUGAGGACGGUAGAGGGAGACGGAACAGCUGGUGUAGGGGUAAAAUCCUUAGAUAUCAGCUGGAAGGCCGGUGGUGAAGACGGUCUCCUGAGCCGGACCUGACGCUGAGGCUCGAAAGCUAGGGGAGCGAACGGGAUUAGA
rnacentral:rRNA from 1 species